AUUGAACGCUGGCGGCAGGCCUAACACAUGCAAGUCGAGCGCGCGGCGGACGGGUGAGUAAUGUAUGGGUAUCUGCCUGAUGGGGGGGUAUCAACACUGGAAACGGUAUCUAAUACCGCAUACUAUCAGAUGAACCUAUAUGGGAUUAGCUACUAGGUGAGGUAACGUCUCACCUAGGCGACGAUCCCUAGCUGGUCUGAGAGGAUGAUCAGCCACACUGGGACUGAGACACGGCCCAGACUCCUACGGGAGGCAGCAGUGGGGAAUAUUGCACAAUGGGCGCAAGCCUGAUACAGCCAUGCCGCGUGUAUGAAGAAGGCCUUCGGGUUGUAAAGUACUUUCAGUCGGGAGGCGUUACCGACAGAAGAAGCACCGGCUAACUCCGUGCCAGCCGCCGCGGUAAUUC
rnacentral:rRNA from 1 species